rnacentral:rRNA from 1 species
UACGUAGGGGGCAAGCGUUGUCCGGAUUUAUUGGGCGUAAAGAGCGUGUAGGCGGUUUGGUAGGUCCGCUGUGAAAACUCGAGGCUCAACCUCGAGACGCCGGUGGAAACCAUCGAGACUAGAGUCCGGAAGAGGAGAGUGGAAUUCCGUGGAUGUAGCGGUGGAAAUGCGCAGAUAUCAGGAAGAACACCCGUGGCUAAGGCGGCUCUCUAGUACGGUACUGACGCUGAGACGCGAAAGCGUGGGGAGCGAACAGG